AUUGAACGCUGGCGGAAUGCUUUACACAUGCAAGUCGAACGGCAGCACGGACUUCGGUCUGGUGGCGAGUGGCGAACGGGUGAGUAAUGUAUCGGAACGUGCCCAGUCGUGGGGGAUAACGUAGGGAAAAUUACGCUAAUACCGCAUACGAUCUAUGGAUGAAAGCGGGGGAUCGCAAGACCUCGCGCGAUUGGAGCGGCCGAUAUCAGAUUAGGUCGUUGGUGGGGUAAAGGCCCACCAAGCCAACGAUCUGUAGCUGGUCUGAGAGGACGACCAGCCACACUGGAACUGAGACACGGUCCAGACUCCUACGGGAGGCAGCAGUGGGGAAUUUUGGACAAUGGGCGAAAGCCUGAUCCAGCCAUUCCGCGCGCAGGAUGAAGGCCCUCGGGUUGUAAACUGCUUUUGUACAGAACGAAAAGGUUUCUACUAAUACUAGGAGCUCAUGACGGUACUGUAAGAAUAAGCACCGGCUAACUACGUGCCAGCCGCCGCGGUAA
rnacentral:rRNA from 1 species